AUUAGAUACCCUGGGUAGUCCACGCAGUAAACGAUGAAUGCUAAUUGUCCGGAGGGAAUGACCUCUGGGUGAUACAGCGAAAGCGUUAAGCAUUCCACCUGGGGAGUACGCCGGCAACGGUGAAACUCAAAGGAAUUGACGGGGGCCCGCACAAGCGGAGGAACAUGUGGUUUAAUUCGAUGAUACGCGAGGAACCUUACCCGGGCUCAAACGGUGGGGGACUGUAUUGGAGACGAUACAUUCCUUCGGGACCGCCACCGAGGUGCUGCAUGGUUGUCGUCAGCUCGUGCCGUGAGGUGUCGGCUUAAGUGCCAUAACGAGCGCAACCCCUGCGGGCAGUUGCUAACGGAUAAAGCCGAGGACUCUGCCCGGACUGCCGGCGCAAGCCGUGAGGAAGGCGGGGAUGACGUCAAAUCAGCACGGCCCUUACGUCCGGGGCUACACACGUGUUACAAUGGGGCAUACAGAGAGUUGGUCAUGCGCAAGCAUGAUCGGAUCAUGAAAGUGUCCCUCAGUUCGGACUGGGGUCUGCAACCUGACCCCACGAAGCUGGAUUCGCUAGUAAUCGCGCAUCAGCCAUGGCGCGGUGAAUACGUUCCCGGGCCUUGUACACACCGCCCGUCAAGCCAUGGGAGCCGGGAGUGCCUGAAGUGCGUGAGCGCGAGCAGCGCCCUAGGGUAAAACCGGUGGCUGGGGCUAAGUCGUAACAAGGUACC
rnacentral:rRNA from 1 species